rnacentral:lncRNA from 1 species
UUUUUUAAAAAUAUUUAUUUAUUUAUUUUAUUUAUAUGACUACGCUGUAGCUGUCUUCAGACACACUUUAGAAGAGGGCCUCGGAUCCCAUUACAGAUGGUUGUGAGACACCAUGUGGUUGCUGGGAAUUGAACUCAGGACCUCUGGAACAGCAGUCAAUGCUUUUCCGCUGAGCCAUCCCUCCAGCCUUUAAGUUUUUUUAAUGUAAAGACUUAUUUAUUUAUUAUGUAUAUAGCAUUCUGCCUGCAUGUAUGCCUACAGGCCAGAAGAUCUCAUUCGUUAUAGAUGGUUGUGAGCCACCAUAUAUUUGCUGAGAACUGAACUGAGGACCUCUGGAAGAGUAGCCAGUGCUCUUAACCUCUGAGCCAUCUCUCCAGCCCCAUUUUUUUUUUUUCCCACGUGGAGAGGUUUAAUGAGUGAAGAAGAGUAGAAGAGGGGAAGAACAAAGGCCGGCCCUGAGCACGUGGAAGGAAGGGGUGGGGAGAGAAGGGCCCCCUUUUUUUUUAAUCUUUACUUUAUUUCGAUUUAUUAUUUUGUUUUGUUUUCGAAACAGGGUUUUCCCAUGUAUCCUUGGCUGUUCAGAAACUCGCUCUGUUGACUAGAUUGGACUGGAACUCAAGAGUUCCUCCUCCAACGGUGUGCCUGCUUUUGCCUCCCCCGUGGUGCGAUUGAAGAGAUGCCCCACUAAGGCCCGGUUUACUGGCUUUUGGGUCAGGCUGAGGCAGGAGGAUCACCGGCAAUCGCACGUCAGUCAGUCUGGGCUUCCUGGGCGAGCGACUCCCAGGUGAAAACCGGAGGGACGAGGAAAAGAAAGAACGAAGGAGAAGGUCCGGGGGAGGACAAAAAUCCCAGAGCAUUUAACAGUUCUAGCAAAGGAGCUGCAAUUCCAGAGGGCCCAUCUCCCAAGGCUCGGUCCGCCUCUUCCCCGGGGCCUCGCCUCCUUCCUGGAUCUCAUCUCAGGAGAGACGCGAGGCCACUAGAUGAAAGAGGGUGGCGGUGGUGUGUGGCGGGUGUUGUCAGUUCUGUGUCUGAAAGACUGUGAAGAAGAACGGAGCGGAACCGCGGGCCUCGGUCGGUCCAGCGU